ACAGGGAUUGCCCUAGUAACGGCGAGUGAAGCGGCAACAGCUCAAAUUUGAAAUCUGGCCUCGGCCCGAGUUGUAAUUUGCAGAGGAUGCUUCUGGCGCGGUGCCUUCCGAGUUCCCUGGAACGGGACGCCACAGAGGGUGAGAGCCCCGUAUGGUCGGACACCAAGCCUGUGUGAAGCUCCUUCGACGAGUCGAGUAGUUUGGGAAUGCUGCUCUAAAUGGGAGGUAAAUCUCUUCUAAAGCUAAAUACCGGCCAGAGACCGAUAGCGCACAAGUAGAGUGAUCGAAAGAUGAAAAGCACCUUGAAAAGGGGGUUAAAUAGUACGUGAAAUUGUUGAAAGGGAAGCACUUGUGACCAGACUUGGGCCGGGCGGCUCAUCAGGGGUUCUCCCCUGUGCACUCCGCCCGGCACAGGCCAGCAUCGGUUCUCGCGGGGGGAUAAGACCGUCAGGAACGUAGCACCCUCCGGGGUGUGUUAUAGCCUGGCGGACGAUACCCCCGCGGGGACCGAGGUUCGCGCUCCGCAAGGAUGCUGGCGUAAUGGUCACCAGUGACCCGUCUUGAAACACGGACCAAGGAGUCGUCCAUUAGAGCGAGCGUUUGGGUGUAAAACCCGCACGCGUAAUGAAAGUGAACGCAGGUGAGAGCUUCGGCGCAUCAUCGACCGAUCCUGAUGUUCUCGGAAGGAUUUGAGUAAGAGUUUUAACGGACGGACCCGAAAGACAGUGAACUAUGCUUGUAUAGGGUGAAGCCAGAGGAAACUCUGGUGGAGGCUCGCAGCGGUUCUGACGUGCAAAUCGAUCGUCAAAUAUGAGCAUGGGG
rnacentral:rRNA from 1 species